rnacentral:rRNA from 1 species
GAUGAACGCUGGCGGCGGGCCUAAUACAUGCAAGUCGAGCGGCCUCUUGGGAUCUUGCUCCCAUAAGUUAGCGCGGGGCGGGUGAGUAACACGUGGGUAACCUACCUGUAAUACUCGGGGACCAUCGGGAAACCGGAGCUAAUAUCGGAUAACAUAGAAGAUCACAUGGCCUUCAAUUAAAAGAUGGACUUUGGCUACCACUUAGAGCUGGACCCGCGGCGCAUUAGAUAGUUGGUGAGGUGACGGAUCACCAAAGCGACGAUGCGUCUCCGAGCUGAGAGGGGGGGCGGGCCCACUGGGACGGGAACCAGGCUCAGACCCCUACCGGAGGCAACAGUAGGGAAACUUCCGCAAUGGACGGAAGUCUGACGGAGCAAAGCCGCGUGGGCGAAGGAAGGCUUCCGGUCGUAAAGCUCUGUUGUUAGGGAAGGACAAGUAUCAGGCGAAUACGGCGGUACCUUGACGGUACCUAACGAAAAAGCCACGGCUAACUACGUG